rnacentral:rRNA from 1 species
UACGGAAGGCAGCAGUGGGGAAUAUUGCACAAUGGGCGAAAGCCUGAUGCAGCUAUGCCGCGUGUAUGAAGAAGGCUUUAGGGUUGUAAAGUACUUUCAUCGGGGAGGAAAAACAAAACUAAUAAUUUUAUUUCUUGACGUUACCCGAAAAAGAAGCACCGGCUAACUCCGUGCCAGCAGCCGCGGUAAUACGGAGGGUGCUAGCGUUAAUCAGAAUUACUGGGCGUAAAGAGCACGUAGGUGGUUUUUUUAAGUCAGAUGUGAAAUCCCUGGGCUUAACCUAGGAACUGCAUUUUGAAACUGAAAUACUAGAGUAUCGUAGAGGGAGGUAGAAUUCUAGGUGUAGCGGUGAAAUGCGUAGAUAUCUGGAGGAAUACCUGUGGCGAAAGCGGCCUCCUAAACGAAUACUGACACUGAGGUGCGAAAGCGUGGGGAGCAAACAGGGAUUAGAUACC